rnacentral:lncRNA from 1 species
GGACCAUGCAGCCACUGCAUUCUAACAUGCAUUUAAUGCCCAUAGUUUUACUUUUUCAUUUGAAAUUUUGAAUGAUAAAAAUGUUUCUCAUCUUCUGAAAAAAUUAUAACAUCUGGUGUCUAUAUUAUGGAAGAAAAAAUUUAUCCAAUCAGAUUGGAUGCCAGAAAGAAGGAAAAGAUUUCUAAUUUAAAAUUUUCAUAACUCUUAUGAAAGUUACCCCAAUGCAUAGUGAAAAAUUGAUCGAGGUUGAUUGAUUCUUGAAAAUCAUUGCUUCGCGAGAUCCGA